UCAUCCAUUGAUUAAGUUUUCUCAUAUUCACUCUCCAAAACUUCUUCAUCUCGGUUUUUCAUUUCUUGUUCAUUUUCAUUCUAUUGCUUGUUAUCCAACAGAGGGAAGGGAGAGUGAACUCAAUACAAUUUGAGCUCGCGUUCGAAAUUUUGGGUCCGAAUUUUCUUGAGUUGGUCUGAAGAAGAAAGAAAAUCACAGGCACACUGGUGCUCAUAACCGAAGAAAUUAUCCAACAGUUUGAAGUCCUCAUGGAAAAAGUUGAUGAGCUAUUGAAGAAACCUUUCCAGUUAUUGUCGGCAAUAUCCACCAUCGAUGACCUGAGCUACCCUGAGAAAACGGGAACUUAAUACAUAGUCAACGCUCCAUAUAUAUUCUCAGCAUGUUGGAAGAUUAUGGACUAUGAAUCUCUCCCACAGUUUUGUAGAAAAGAAGGCUCGGGCUCAUCUCGAGUUGAUGGAGAAGUUAGUGAUUGUUUUUCCUUGAAUCACCCCUUCCAUCAGCAGCUCUAUAACUAUGUGAAGGAGCAAGCUGCACGAGUUGGCCUCACUACGCCACUGAGACACGGUUCGUUCCAUGUGGAUUGUCCAGUGCCUGAUCCAGCUGAUGUAAAAAUUGCUGAAACUAUAGAAUGCGAGCUUCAAAGACUGGGGAAUCAAAAUGGCCUUUCCCACUCGUCAUCAUGCGAGCUUAAGGUAAACGGUGACUGAAUUUGGCGCAACCACACUACUGUUAGUAGCUGAAGCCUUGGAUCGUCAUAGAAUUUUGGCAUUGUCUCGAAUUCGAUCAUUCGAUGCAGUUCUUUUGGGGGGCUGAGCUUCCCAUCAUCAGGUCAGUGUAAUGCUGCAAUAUUUGAAAAUGCAGAGUUCGAUGAUUUUGUUGUGUAGUGUAUUGUUGUAUUGGAGUGGAUAUAAUAUGGU